GCCCGGGUGGUGGAAUGGCAGACACUAAAGACUUAAAAUCUUUUGCCCGAAAGGGCGUACGGGUUCGAAUCCCGUCCCGGGUACCA
rnacentral:tRNA from 1 species